UCCGACUUGACGUCGGCAGUCUCGUUAGAGUGCCCCACUUAAGGCUGGCAACUAACGACAGAGGUUGCGCUCGUUGCGGGACUUAACCCAACAUCUCACGACACGAGCUGACGAUAGCCAUGCACCACCUGUGAUCCUGCCCACAGGGGGAAACCGUGUUUCCACGGCGGUCAGGAACAUGUCAAACCCAGGUAAGGUUCUUCGCGUUGCGUCGAAUUAAACCACAUGCUCCGCUGCUUGUGCGGGUCCCCGUCAAUUCCUUUGAGUUUUAGCCUUGCGGCCGUACUCCCCAGGCGGGGCACUUAAUGCGUUAGCUGCGACACGGAAGCCGUGGAAUGGCCCCCACAUCUAGUUCCCAACGUUUACGGCAUGGACUAC
rnacentral:misc_RNA from 1 species